rnacentral:rRNA from 1 species
GAUGAACGCUGGCGGCGUGCCUAACACAUGCAAGUCGAGCGAUUCUCUUCGGAGAAGAGCGGCGGACGGGUGAGUAACGCGUGGGUAACCUGCCCUGUGCACACGGAUAACAUACCGAAAGGUAUGCUAAUACGAGAUAAUAUGCUUUUAUCGCAUGGUAGAAGUAUCAAAGCUUUUGCGGUACAGGAUGGACCCGCGUCUGAUUAGCUAGUUGGUAAGGUAACGGCUUACCAAGGCGACGAUCAGUAGCCGACCUGAGAGGGUGAUCGGCCACAUUGGAACUGAGACACGGUCCAAACACCUACGGGUGGCAG